UGAGCAAUCUGCCCUUCUCAUCGGAAUAAGCGUUGGAAACGACGUCUAAUGCCGAAUACGACCUCCUUUCGCAUGAUCGGGGGUGGAAAGCUCCGGCGGAGAAGGAUGAGCUCACGGCCUAUCAGCUAGUUGGUGUGGGUAAUGGCCCACCAAGGCGACGACGGGUAGCCGGCCUGAGAGGGUGACCGGCCACACUGGGACUGAGACACGGCCCAGACUCCGUACGGGAGGCAGCCAGGG
rnacentral:rRNA from 1 species